CUACUACUCCCUCCAUCUGAAAAUACUUGUCAUUGAAAUGGAUGUAUCUACAUGUAUUUUAGUUCUAGACACAUCCAUUUUGAUGACAAGUAAUUCCGGACGGAGGGAGUAUUAU
rnacentral:pre_miRNA from 1 species